GAUGAACGCUGGCUACAGGCUUAACACAUGCAAGUCGAGGGGAAACGACGGGGAAGCUUGCUUCCCCGGGCGUCGACCGGCGCACGGGUGAGUAACGCGUAUCCAACCUGCCUCUGACUGAGGGAUAACCCGUCGAAAGUCGGCCUAAUACCUCAUGGCAUCGUCUGCGGGCAUCCAACGACGAUUAAAGAUUUCAUCGGUCAGAGAUGGGGAUGCGUCUGAUUAGCUUGUUGGCGGGGUAACGGCCCACCAAGGCGACGAUCAGUAGGGGUUCUGAGAGGAAGGUCCCCCACAUUGGAACUGAGACACGGUCCAAACUCCUACGGGAGGCAGCAGUGAGGAAUAUUGGUCAAUGGGCGAGAGCCUGAACCAGCCAAGUAGCGUGCAGGAUGACGGCCCUAUGGGUUGUAAACUGCUUUUAUGCGGGGAUAAAGUGAGGGACGUGUCCUUCAUUGCAGGUACCGCAUGAAUAAGGACCGGCAAUUCCGUG
rnacentral:rRNA from 1 species